AUUCCAGCUCCAAUAGCGUAUAUUUAAGUUGCUGCAGUUAAAAAGCUCGUAGUUGGAUUUCGGGUGGGAAUGGCCGGUCCGCCGUUUCGGUGUGCACUUGCUAGUCCCACCUUGCUGCCGGGGACGUGCUCUUGGGUUUCGGCUCGGGACACGGAGUCGGCGAGGUUACUUUGAGUAAAUUAGAGUGUUCAAAGCAGGCCUACGCUCUGAAUACAUUAGCAUGGAAUAACACGAUAGGACUCUGGCCUAUCUUGUUGGUCUGUAGGACCGGAGUAAUGAUUAAGAGGGACAGUCGGGGGCACUCGUAUUUCAUUGUCAGAGGUGAAAUUCUUGGAUUUAUGAAAGACGAACUACUGCGAAAGCAUUUGCCAAGGAUGUUUUCAUCA
rnacentral:rRNA from 1 species